GCUUGCUUUGGCAGCGCAUAUACUAAAACUGGAACGUACAGAGGAGAUUAUCAUGGCCCUUGUGCAAGGAUGACACACAAAUUCAUGAAGCGUUCCAUAUUAAA